GAUGAACGCUGGCGGCGUGCCUAAUACAUGCAAGUCGAGCGGAAAGGCCCUUCGGGGUACUCGAGCGGCGGACGGCUGAGUAACGCGUAGGAACGUACCCCAAAGUGAGGGAUAACUGCUCGAAAGAGUAGCUAAUACCGCAUGUGCUCUUCGGAGUAAAGCUUCGGCGCUUUGGGAACGGCCUGCGUCCUAUUAGCUAGUUGGUGAGGUAAUUGCUCACCAAGGCGACGAUAGGUAGCUGGUCUGAGAGGAUGAUCAGCCAGACUGGGACUGAGACACGGCCCAGACUCCUACGGGAGGCAGCAGUAGGGAAUUUUCCACAAUGGGCGAAAGCCUGAUGGAGCAACGCCGCGUGCAGGAUGAAUGCCUUCGGGUUGUAAACUGCUUUUAUAGGUGAAGAAUAUGACGGUAACCUAUGAAUAAAGAUCGGCUAACUCCGUGCCAGCAGCCGCGGUAA
rnacentral:rRNA from 1 species